AGCAGUCGCCGCGGUAAUACGUAGGGUGCGAGCGUUAAUCGGAAUUACUGGGCGUAAAGCGUGCGCAGGCGGUUGUGUAAGUCAGAUGUGAAAUCCCCGAGCUUAACUUGGGAACUGCAUUUGAAACUGGCAAGCUAGAGUCUUGUAGAGGGGGGUAGAAUUCCAGGUGUAGCGGUGAAACGCGUAGAGAUCUGGAGGAAUACCGGUGGCGAAGGCGGCUUGCUAGCCAAAGACUGACGCUCAUGCACGAAAGCGUGGGGAGCAAAUAGGAUUAGAUACCCCAGUAGUCCCUGUCUCUUAUAC
rnacentral:rRNA from 1 species